AUUUCAUUUGAGACAUUUAGAUACAAACACCAAACUCCACACGCUCGCACAAACUCACUCCACCCACCCCACUCACUGACCUCGGCUGAAACACCUCUCGGCUGCUCAACUUACCUCUCCGUUCAAAUACACAAUCUCUACUGCUGAAAUCACCAGUGAUUAGGGCUUCGAUUGAAUUGGGGCUCCAGUGGAAGUAGGGUUCAACAGCGUUUCACUUUAAUUGCAGCUUCGAUUUGCUUUGAUUUAAGGUGACAUUUACUGCAUCCUGUUUGUGCAUCUAUACUCAUCUUUAGGGAAUGCCCUGAGGAUUGCAGAGAGGCUGUAUUAACUUUGAUGUUUGCAGCUUCAAGAUUUGCUGAUUUUCCAGAGCUGCGUGAACUAAGAAGCUUAUUUACAUAGAGAGAUGGGAAGUCAGUUGAAUCUUAUGCCAAUAAAGAGUUAUUCAGGUACUGGAAAGUGUUGAAACAACUGCAGAGAAAGCGACCCGAUAGUAGGAGCUUGGUCAGGUGUGUUCAGGAGCUGAGGAUGAAGGGGGCUAGCUUUCAUUUGUUUAAAGAGCCUCUGAAUGCAAAGAGAAUGAAGAGUUCCAGUGUCGAGAUCAAGAGAAAGCCAUUGACAGGGUGUUCUUAGAGUCUCACAACUAUUUGUCUAAUCUGUUUGACUGGCUUGCUCUUCCUGCUUCCAGAAUUAUUCUCUGCGUUUAAAGCUACUUCCAAAUGCAGCCAUACUCCAGGUCCUGAGGCUUCAAUCUUUAAUUUAAUAGAUUUUAUAGAUGAUGCUCAAAUGGCAAAGGCCGAUGACAUUUCAAGGAGCUGUAUGAUGGAAGCAAGGUUCUUGAAAUUUAUGGCUAGAGAAACUAUGUAGCUUCGUUUGAUUUGGUAGUUAUUUUGAUUUGGUUCGAAUUAUUAGGUACUUUAGUUUGUAUAAAGAAACAAUUUAUUGGGAUGUUUAAUAUUUAAAUAGUA